rnacentral:rRNA from 1 species
ACGAACGCUGGCGGCGUGCCUAAUACAUGCAAGUCGAGCGGAAUGAUGAAGAAGCUUGCUUCUUCUGAUUUUAGCGGCGGACGGGUGAGUAACACGUGGGCAACCUACCUUGUAGAUUGGGAUAACUCCGGGAAACCGGGGCUAAUACCGAAUAAUCCAUUUUGCUUCAUGGCGAGAUGUUGAAAGACGGUUUCGGCUGUCACUACAAGAUGGGCCCGCGGCGCAUUAGCUAGUUGGUAGGGUAAUGGCCUGCCAAGGCGACGAUGCGUAGCCGACCUGAGAGGGUGAUCGGCCACACUGGGACUGAGACACGGCCCAGACUCCUACGGGAGGCAGCAGUAGGGAAUCUUCCACAAUGGACGAAAGUCUGAUGGAGCAACGCCGCGUGAGUGAAGAAGGUUUUCGGAUCGUAAAACUCUGUUGUAAGGGAAGAACACGUACGAGAGUAACUGCUCGUACCUUGACGGUACCUUAUUAGAAAGCCACGGCUAACUACGUG